rnacentral:tRNA from 1 species
GCCAGUGUAGCAUAGCGGUUGGAGUGCUGGACUGCAACUCUGGAGACCUGGAUUUGAUUCCCAGCUUGGCCA